rnacentral:rRNA from 1 species
CUAAGAAUAUUCCGCAAUGGACGAAAGUCUGACGGAGCGACGCCGCGUGGAUGAGGAAGGCCGAAAGGUUGUAAAGUCCUUUUGUCGAUGAAGAAUAAGUGGUGGAGGGAAUGCCAUCAUGAUGACGUUAGUCGGCGAAUAAGCCCCGGCUAAUUACGUGCCAGCAGCCGCGGUAACACGUAAGGGGCAAGCGUUGUUCGGAAUUAUUGGGCGUAAAGGGUACGUAGGCGGUUAUGUAAGCCCGGCGUGAAAUCCUGCAGCUUAACUGUAGAGCUGCGCUGGGAACUGCGUAACUUGAGUCAUGGAAGGGAAGUUAGAAUUCCAGGUGUAGGGGUGAAAUCUGUAGAUAUCUGGAAGAAUACCGGUGGCGAAGGCGAACUUCUGGCCAAUGACUGACGCUGAGGUACGAAAGUGCGGGGAGCAAACA